rnacentral:lncRNA from 13 species
UUUUUCGACUCUUAUUUUGAAGCAUAAAAUAGGGAAUUAGGUCAGGAGUUAUUAGGUGUGGGGCGAGGAAGGUUUGCGGAAGGACAGCUAUUGUGGGAAUGACAACAUUUCAGAAAGAUGUUUUCUUCUGUUUUGAGCCUAUUGAACAAGGCCUAGGGGAAAUGCUUGGCAUAUACGGUGGUUUUUGUACUCGUUUGGAUUCAUUUUAGUUAGACUUCAAUGAUCUUCCCUCCUUCAGUGUACACUCACCCAGCCCUUCCACAUUCAGAUAUCAUUCCAGCACCCAGAAAAUCCGGGGGAAAAGAGCCUCAGGGGAAGAGAGCCUCAGAAGUCACGGAGAUCAUCAUCAAGCAUGUGUGUGAACUGUGUAUGGGAGGCCAUGAGCAAAUGCACUGCAUGCCACAAGGUCUAAUACGGUUGCACCUUCUGUCAGAGAAAGGACUGGAAGGAUCACCAGCACAACUGCUGCCAGACCGGUGGGGCUGUGGCUGUCCAGGAGGAUGUGUCCAUGUCAACCAUAGACACUCACAGACAACCAAACAGACUCUGUAA